ACACAUCCUAUGUGUCUACUGAUGGAAGGAACCAUCUUGACUUUGCUGAGUUCAGUUUUACUAACAUUCCAGCAAGUGCCUGGCCUGGAUAUGAUAUGCCAAUGGUAGAGACUUCAAAGGACAAAGGCUGUUUCUGUCACAGGAGAGAGAACACGGAGGGGCUGCUUAAAGAAAUAAAAUUGUAAAAUGAAGCCUUGGAACCUUUCAUAGAAUGCAAGCCCUUAACAAGGCUGUGGGCUCUACCUCCAAAGCACAACCUGGAUCCAGCCAUUUCUCACCAUCCCAAUUACAAGCUCUACCUCCAAAGCACAACCUGGAUCCAGCCAUUUCUCACCAUCCCAAUUACAACUCCGGGUAUAUCCAGGCCACCACUCACCCAUACCAGAGAGACUCCCAGCUGUACACUUCUCUGAAAGUUAUUAUCCACUCA